rnacentral:rRNA from 1 species
ACUGUGAAACUGCGAAUGGCUCAUUAAAUCAGUUAUGGUUUAUUUGAUGGUACCUUGCUACUUGGAUAACCGUAGUAAUUCUAGAGCUAAUACAUGCAGGAGUUCCCGACUCACGGAGGGAUGUAUUUAUUAGAUAAGAAACCAAACCGGUCUCCGGUUGCGUGCUGAGUCAUAAUAACUGCUCGAAUCGCACGGCUCUACGCCGGCGAUGGUUCAUUCAAAUUUCUGCCCUAUCAGCUUUCGAUGGUAGGAUAGGGGCCUACCAUGGCGUUAACGGGUAACGGAGAAUUAGGGUUCGAUUCCGGAGAGGGAGCCUGAGAAAUGGCUACCACAUCCAAGGAAGGCAGCAGGCGCGUAAAUUGCCCGAAUCCUGACACAGGGAGGUAGUGACAAGAAAUAACAAUACAGGGCUAUUUUAGUCUUGUAAUUGGAAUGAGUACAAUUUACAUCUCUUCACGAGGAUCAAUUGGAGGGCAAGUCUGGUGCCAGCAGCCGCGGUAAUUCCAGCUCCAAUAGCGUAUAUUAAAGUUGUUGCAGUUAAAACGCUCGUAGUCGGAUUUCGGGGCGGGCCGACCGGCCUGCCGAUGGGUAUGCACUGGCCGGCGCGUCCUUCCACCCGGAGACCGCGCCUACUCUUAACUGAGCGGGCGCGGGAGACGGGUCUUUUACUUUGAAAAAAUCAGAGUGUUUCAAGCAGGCAGUCGCUCUUGCAUGGAUUAGCAUGGGAUAAUGAAAUAGGACUCUGGUGCUAUUUUGUUGGUUUCGAACACCGGAGUAAUGAUUAACA